UGGCUACCACAUCCAAGGAUGGCAGCAGGCGCGCAAAUUACCCACUCUCAGUACGAGGAGGUAGUGACGAAAAAUAACAAUGCGGGACUCAUCAGAGGCCUCGCAAUUGGAAUGAGCGCACUUUAAAUCGUUCGACGAGGAUCUAUUGGAGGGCAAGUCUGGUGCCAGCAGCCGCGGUAAUUCCAGCUCCAAUAGCGUAUAUUAAAGUUGUUGCAGUUAAAAAGCUCGUAGUUGGAUCUGGGGUUCGGGUCGGCGGUUUGCCGCUUCGGCGGCUACUGCCGUGCUCGACUCUUACUAGCCGGUGCGUCUUGCGGUGCUCUUCAUCGAGUGCCGUAGGAGCCUGGCAUGUUUACUUUGAAAAAAUUAGAGUGCUCAAAGCAGGCGAUUCCGCCUGAAUAGUGUUGCAUGGAAUAAUGGAAUAGGACCUCGGUUCUAUUUUGUUGGUUUUCGGAACUUGAGGUAAUGAUUAAGAGGGACGGUCGGGGGCAUUCGUAUUUCGGUGUUAGAGGUGAAAUUCUUGGAUCGCUGAAAGACGGACAAAUGCGAAAGCAUCUGCCAAGAACGUCUCCAUUAAUCAAGAACGAAAGUCAGAGGUUCGAAGACGAUCAGACACCGUCCUAGUUCUGACCAUAAACGAUGCCAACUAGCGAUCCGCAGUGGUUGCUAUAAACGGACUCUGCGAGCAGCUUCCGGGAAACCAAAGUGUUUGGGUUCCGGGGGAAGUAUGGUUGCAAAGCUGAAACUUAAAGGAAUUGACGGAAGGGCACCACCAGGAGUGGAGCCUGCGGCUUAAUUUGACACAACACGGGGAAACUCACCCGGUCCGGACACUGUAAGGAUUGACAGAUCGAGAGCUCUUUCUUGAUUCGGUGGAUGGUGGUGCAUGGCCGUUCUUAGUUGGUGGAGUGAUUUGUCUGGUUAAUUCCGAUAACGAACGAGACUCUAGCCUGCUAACUAGUUGCGCCGUGUUCAUACGCGGCUGUAGACUUCUUAGAGGGACAGGUGGCGUUUAGCCACACGAAAUUGAGCAAUAACAGGUCUGUGAUGCCCUUAGAUGUCCGGGGCCGCACGCGCGCUACACUGAAGGAGUCAGCGUGUGCUAUCCGGGCUCGGAAGAGUUCGGUAACCCGUUGAAACUCCUUCGUGCUUGGGAUUGUGGCUUGUAAUUAUCGCGCAUGAACGAGGAAUUCCCAGUAAGUGCAAGUCAUCAGCUUGCGCUGACUACGUCCCUGCCCUUUGUACACACCGCCCGUCGCUACUACCGAUUGAAUGGUUUAGCAAGGUACUCGGAUUGGUCUCGAUCUUGUACGAAAGUGCGGGAUCUGUGGCCGAGAAGAAGGCCAAACUUGAUCAUUUAGAGGGAGUAAAAGUCGUAACAAGGUU
rnacentral:rRNA from 1 species